rnacentral:rRNA from 1 species
GACGAACGCUGGCGGCGUGCUUAACACAUGCAAGUCGAGCGGUAAGGCCCUUUCGGGGGUACACGAGCGGCGAACGGGUGAGUAACACGUGGGUGACCUGCCCUUAGCUCUGGGAUAAGCCUGGGAAACUGGGUCUAAUACCGGAUAUGACUCCAUGACGCAUGUUGUGGGGUGGAAAGCCUUGUGCGGCUAGGGAUGGGCCCGCGGCCUAUCAGCUUGUUGGUGGGGUGAUGGCCUACCAAGGCGACGACGGGUAGCCGGCCUGAGAGGGCGACCGGCCACACUGGGACUGAGACACGGCCCAGACUCCUACGGGAGGCAGCAGGUGGGGAAUCUUGCGCAAGUGGGACGAAAGCCUGACGCAGCGACGCCGCGUGAGGAUGACG